rnacentral:rRNA from 1 species
GGAUUAGAUACCCUGGUAGUCCACGCCCUAAACGAUGUCAACUAGCCGUUGGGUUCGUUCUAGAACUUAGUGGCGCAGCUAACGCGAUAAGUUGACCGCCUGGGGAGUACGGUCGCAAGAUUAAAACUCAAAGGAAUUGACGGGGGCCCGCACAAGCGGUGGAGCAUGUGGUUUAAUUCGAUGCAACGCGAAGAACCUUACCUGGUCUUGACAUCCUGCGAACUUUCUAGAGAUAGAUUGGUGCCUUCGGGAACGCAGUGACAGGUGCUGCAUGGCUGUCGUCAGCUCGUGUUG